ACGCGAGGACGACCUCGCGGCUCGAUCGAGUCAUUAACCUGGGGACGACCCCG
rnacentral:ncRNA from 1 species